rnacentral:rRNA from 1 species
GAUGAACGCUGGCGGCGUGCCUAAUACAUGCAAGUCGAGCGAAUGGAUUAAGAGCUUGCUCUUAUGAAGUUAGCGGCGGACGGGUGAGUAACACGUGGGCAACCUGCCCAUAAGACUGGGAUAACUCCGGGAAACCGGGGCUAAUACCGGAUAACAUUUUGAACCGCAUGGUUCGAAAUUGAAAGGCGGCUUCGGCUGUCACUUAUGAUGGACCCGCGUCGCAUUAGCUAGUUGGUGAGGUAACGGCUCACCAAGGCAACGAUGCGUAGCCGACCUGAGAGGGUGAGCGGCCACACUGGGACUGAGACACGGCCCAGACUCCUACGGGAGGCAGCAGUAGGGAAUCUUCCGCAAUGGACGAAAGUCUGACGGAGCAACGCCGCGUGAGUGAUGAAGGCUUUCGGGUCGUAAAACUCUGUUGUUAGGGAAGAACAAGUGCUAGUUGAAUAAGCUGGCACCUUGACGGUACCUAACCAGAAAGCCACGGCUAACUACGUGCCAGCCGCCGCGGUAA